CUACGGGUUGCUGCAGUGAGGAAUAUUGGUCAAUGGGCGCAAGCCUGAACCAGCCAUCCCGCGUGCAGGAUGACAGCCCUAGAGGUUGUAAACUGCUUUUGUAUAGGAAGAAUAAGAGCUACGUGUAGCUUGAUGACUGUACUAUACGAAUAAGCACCGGCUAACUCCGUGCCAGCAGCCGCGGUAAUACGGAGGGUGCAAGCGUUAUCCGGAUUUAUUAGGUUUAAAGGGUGCGUAGGCGGGAUCUUAAGUCAGUGGUAAAAGGCAUUAGCUUAACUAAUGUAAGCCAUUGAAACUGGGAUUCUUGAGUUCGGUUGAGGUAGGCGGAAUGUGUUGUGUAGCGGUGAAAUGCAUAGAUAUAACACAGAACACCGAUUGCGAAGGCAGCUUACUAAGCCGUUACUGACGCUGAUGCACGAAAGCGUGGGUAUCAAACAGGAUUAGAUACCCUUGUAGUC
rnacentral:rRNA from 1 species